GGAUUCUUUUGGUAUAAUUAUGCUUGUGUGUUCUCUGCAUGGUUGUGUGUGUGUGUGUACCCCAUAGGUCCAGCUGUGAAGUACACACACAGGGUGCUGAUCACACACUCUCAUGAACCAUUCAGCAACAUCAACAUGCAACAUCAAAACACUGCUGUUGAUUUUACUCUUGUUCUUUUUCCCUCCUCCUCCUCCUCUUCAUGUGCUGUGCUUGUGAUGGACAUGUGUGGGGCUACUGGAUCCCUCGAAACAAACACAUGGCAAACACCAUGGCAACAAGCUGCAGGGAAGCAUAGAGAUAUACACUUCCAUUUCAGAAAGUCUUAAUGGAACUUGGCAUUGGAAUGGUUUGGCAGACCAUUGUGGAUGUUACAAGGCCUGUGGUGUCUGCGCUGCAUGACUCAGUAAACAUGGACUGUGGCUCAGUCCCUUCACUCUGAUAAGAGACCAGGAAUCUGUGUG